AUAGCUCAGCUGGGAGAGCGCUACGCUGGCAGCGUAGAGGUCAGGGGUUCGAGCCCCCUUGGCUCCA
rnacentral:tRNA from 1 species